AGGUGAACCUGCGGAAGGAUCAUUCACAAUAAGUGUUUAAUGGCACUUUCAAUCCAUUACCCACCUUGUGUGCAUUGUCGGGAGGACUCCUUUCUCUCUCGCGAGGGAAGGGGAACUCUUAUUUACAAACUCGUGUUCUUCAGUAUCUGUCUACUACUUUUGAGUAUAUAAAACUCGAAUACAACUUUCAACAACGGAUCUCUUGGCUCUCG
rnacentral:misc_RNA from 1 species